rnacentral:rRNA from 1 species
GCAAGUCGAGGGGUAACAGGAAAAAGCCUGCUUUUUCGCUGACGACCGGCGCACGGGUGCGUAACGCGUAUAGAAUCUACCUUUUACUGAGGGAUAGCCUUUAGAAAUGAAGAUUAAUACCCCAUAGUAUCAAAUUUUCGCAUGAUUAUUUGAUUAAAGAUUUAUUGGUAAAAGAUAACUAUGCGUCCUAUUAGCUAGAUGGUAAGGUAACGGCUUACCAUGGCAACGAUAGGUAGGGGUCCUGAGAGGGAGAUC